ensembl:snRNA U6 U6 spliceosomal RNA
GGGUCAUCAGGACUGAUUUGCAAAACCAGUAGGAAUGAUACAGAGAUUAGCAUGUCCCCUAUGCAAGCAUGGCACACAAAUUCAUGAAGCUUUCCAUAUUUUA